UUGUUAAAAAGAACUUGCUGGCCAGUGCACAAUGGCUGUGCACACAAGCCUCCUUGGUGGUGCAAGCAGCCUUUUGUAGUUGGUUUUGUGGGUUGGCCUAAGAGACUUUGGAGACAGUU
rnacentral:snoRNA from 1 species